CUGUAAGGUGUACAUGUCCAACUGGCAGGUGUCAUCUGACCUUGACCUCAUUUUCAUGGUUCAGUGGUUAUAGUUAAGUUUUGUGUUUUGGUCUGUUUUUCUUAUACUGUAUGCCAUAGGUCUACUUUAUUUGGUGUAUGGAAUGAUUGUAAGGUGUACAUGUCUAGCGGGCAGGUGUCAUCUGACCUUGACCUCAUUUUCAUGGUUCAGUGGUCAAAGUUAAGUUUUUGAGUUUUGGUCUUUUUUUCUAAUACUAUAUGCAAUAGUUCAACUAUAUUUGGUAUGUGCGUACCUUGCAAGGUCCUCAUGCCCGUCAGACAGUUUUCACUUGACCUCAACCUCAUUUUAUGGAUCAGUGAACAAGGUUAAGUUUUGGUGGUCAAGUCCAUAUCUCAGAUACUAUAAGCAAUAGGUCUUGUAUAUUCGGUGUAUGGAAGGACUGUAAAGUGUACAUGUCCAACUGGCAGGUGUCAUCUGACCUUGACCUCAUUUUCAUGGUUCAGUGGUUAUAGUUAAGUUUUUGUGUUUUGGUCUGUUUUUCUUAUACUGUAUGCCAUAGGUCUACUAUAUUUGGUGUAUGGAAUGAUUGUAAGGUGUACAUGUCUAGCUGGCAGGUGUCAUCUGACCUUGACCUCGUUUUCAUGGUUCAGUGGUUAUAGUUAAGUUUUUGUGUUUUGGUCUGUUUUUCUUAUACUGUAAGCAAUAGGUCUACUAUAUUUGGUGUAUGGAAUGAUUGUAAGGUGUACAUGUCUAGCUUGCAGGUGUCAUCUGACCUUGACCUCGUUUUCAUGGUUCAGUUGUCAAAGGUAAGUUUUUGAGUUUUGGUCUUUUUUUCUAAUACUAUAUGCAAUAGUUCAACUAUAUUUGGUAUGUGCGUACCUUGCAAGGUCCUCAUGCCCGUCAGACAGUUUUCACUUGACCUUGACCUCAUUUCAUGGAUCAGUGAACAAGGUUAAGUUUUGGUGGUCAAGUCCAUAUCUCAGAUACUAUAAGCAAUAGGUCUAGUAUAUUCGGUGUAUGGAAGGACUGUAAGGUGUACAUGUCCAACUGGCAGGUGUCAUCUGACCUUGACCUCAUUUUCAUGGUUCAGUGGUUAUAGUUAAGUUUUUGUGUUUUGGUCUGUUUUUCUUAUACUGUAUGCCAUAGGUCUACUAUAUUUGGUGUAUGGAAUGAUUGUAAGGUGUACAUGUCUAGCGGGCAGGUGUCAUCUGACCUUGACCUCAUUUUCAUGGUUCAGUGGUCAAAGUUAAGUUUUUGAGUUUUGGUCUUUUUUUCUAAUACUAUAUGCAAUAGUUCAACUAUAUUUGGUAUGUGCGUACCUUGCAAGGUCCUCAUGCCCGUCAGACAGUUUUCACUUGACCUCAACCUCAUUUUAUGGAUCAGUGAACAAGGUUAAGUUUUGGUGGUCAAGUCCAUAUCUCAGAUACUAUAAGCAAUAGGUCUUGUAUAUUCGGUGUAUGGAAGGACUGUAAAGUGUACAUGUCCAACUGGCAGGUGUCAUCUGACCUUGACCUCAUUUUCAUGGUUCAGUGGUUAUAGUUAAGUUUUUGUGUUUUGGUCUGUUUUUCUUAUACUGUAUGCCAUAGGUCUACUAUAUUUGGUGUAUGGAAUGAUUGUAAGGUGUACAUGUCUAGCUGGCAGGUGUCAUCUGACCUUGACCUCGUUUUCAUGGUUCAGUGGUUAUAGUUAAGUUUUUGUGUUUUGGUCUGUUUUUCUUAUACUGUAAGCAAUAGGUCUACUAUAUUUGGUGUAUGGAAUGAUUGUAAGGUGUACAUGUCUAGCUGGCAGGUGUCAUCUGACCUUGACCUCGUUUUCAUGGUUCAGUGGUUAUAGUUAAGUUUUUGUGUUUUGGUCUGUUUUUCUUAUACUGUAAGCAAUAGGUCUACUAUAUUUGGUGUAUGGAAUGAUUGUAAGGUGUACAUGUCUAGCUUGCAGGUGUCAUCUGACCUUGACCUCAUUUUCAUGGUUCAGUGGUUAUAGUUAAGUUUUUGUGUUUUGGUCUGUUUUUCUUAUACUGUAUGCCAUAGGUCUACUAUAUUUGGUGUAUGGAAUGAUUGUAAGGUGUACAUGUCUAGCGGGCAGGUGUCAUCUGACCUUGACCUCAUUUUCAUGGUUCAGUGGUUAUAGUUAAGUUUUUGUGUUUUGGUCUGUUUUUCUUAUACUGUAUGCCAUAGGUCUACUAUAUUUGGUGUAUGGAAUGAUUGUAAGGUGUACAUGUCUAGCGGGCAGGUGUCAUCUGACCUUGACCUCAUUUUCAUGGUUCAGCGGUCAAAGUUAAGUUUUUUCAGUUUUGGUCUUUUUUUCUAAUACUAUAUGCAAUAGUUCAACUAUAUUUGGUAUGUGCGUACCUUGCAAGGUCCUCAUGCCCGUCAGACAGUUUUCACUUGACCUUGACCUCAUUUCAUGGAUCAGUGAACAAGGUUAAGUUUUGGUGGUCAAGUCCAUAUCUCAGAUACUAUAAGCAAUAGGUCUAGUAUAUUUGGUGUAUGGAAGGACUGUAAGGUGUACAUGUCCAACUGGCAGGUGUCAUCUGACCUUGACCUCAUUUUCAUGGUUUAGUGGUUAUAGUUAAGUUUUUGUGUUUUGGUCUGUUUUUCUUAUACUGUAUGCCAUAGGUCUACUAUAUUUGGUGUAUGGAAUGAUUGUAAGGUGUACAUGUCUAGCGGGCAGGUGUCAUCUGACCUUGACCUCAUUUUCAUGGUUCAGUGGUCAAAGUUAAGUUUUUUUCAGUUUUGGUCUUUUUUUCUAAUACUAUAUGCAAUAGUUCAACUAUAUUUGGUGUAUGGAAAUAUUUUAUGAUCUAUUUGGCAGUCACGCAGGUUUUAUUUGACCUUGACCUCAUUUUUACGGUUCAUUGCUCAGUGUUAAGUUUUUGUGUUUUGGUCUGUUUUUCUUAAACUAUAAGCAAUAGGUCAACUAUAUUUGUUGUAUGGAAGAAUUGUUAGCUGUUCAUGCCUGCCUAGCAUGGUUCAUCUGACCUUGACCUCAUUUUCAUGGUUUAUUGGUCAAUGUUUAGUUUACUUGGUUAAUGUUAAGUUUAUGUGACAGUUGUAAUAAAGCUUUAUAUUUAGGACUAUCAACAUAAUAUCAAUGAUUAGUAAAGAAGGCGAGACAUUUCAGCGUGUGCACUCUUGUCUUGGUUAAUGUUAAGUUUAUGUGACAGUUGUAAUAAAGCUUUAUAUUUAGGACUGUCAACAUAAUAUCAAUGAUUAGUAAAGAAGGCGAGACAUUU